rnacentral:rRNA from 1 species
AUAUCAAUAAGCGGAGGAAAAGAAACCAACAGGGAUUGCCCUAGUAACGGCGAGUGAAGCGGCAACAGCUCAAAUUUGAAAUCUGGCCCUCGGGUCCGAGUUGUAAUUUGUAGAGGAUGUUUUUGGUGCGGUGCCUUCCGAGUUCCCUGGAACGGGACGCCAUAGAGGGUGAGAGCCCCGUCUGGUUGGACGCCAAGCCUAUGUAAAACUCCUUCGACGAGUCGAGUAGUUUGGGAAUGCUGCUCUAAAUGGGAGGUAUAUGUCUUCUAAAGCUAAAUAUUGGCCAGAGACCGAUAGCGCACAAGUAGAGUGAUCGAAAGAUGAAAAGCACUUUGAAAAGAGAGUUAAAAAGCACGUGAAAUUGUUGAAAGGGAAGCGCUUAUGACCAGACUUGGACUUGGUUGAUCAUCCGGCGUUCUCGCCGGUGCACUCUUCCGGUUCAGGCCAGCAUCAGUUUGCUUCGGGGGAUAAAGGCUUUGGGAAUGUGGCUCCCUCGGGAGUGUUAUAGCCCAUUGUGUAAUACCCUGGAGCGGACUGAGGUACGCGUUCUGCAAGGAUGCUGGCGUAAUGGUCAUCAGUGACCCGUCUUGAAACACGGACCAAGGAGUCGUCUUCGUAUGCGAGUGUUCGGGUGUUAAACCCCUACGCGUAAUGAAAGUGAACGCAGGUGAGAGCUUCGGCGCAUCAUCGACCGAUCCUGAUGUUCUCGGAUGGAUUUGAGUAAGAGCAUACGGGGCCGGACCCGAAAGAAGGUGAACUAUGCCUGUGUAGGGUGAAGCCAGAGGAAACUCUGGUGGAGGCUCGCAGCGGUUCUGACGUGCAAAUCGAUCGUCAAACAUGGGCAUGGGGGCGAAAGACUAAUCGAACCUUCUAGUAGCUGGUUUCCGC